GGAAGCCGGGGUGUCGGCGGGCGGCCGCGGGAGGGCCUAGCGACGCCUGCGGAAGAAGGAGAAGGCUGGGGGAUGGAGGUGAGAACCAGCAGGAGGAGUCAAGGGCGAGAAGGGACCCGGAGGGACAGGUAGCUGAAAUGCGGUCGUCCAGGUGAUCCGAGGAAUCCUCUGGGAAAAGAGGACCGCGCAUGCGCGCGGCGGAGCGCUGAAGCCCAUUGCCCUCAGGCGCCUAUCCGCGCCCGGGUGGGCGAGACCCGGACAGGGUGAGGGCCAGGGCUCUCUCCUGGCUCGCCUAGUCCCGGGUGGGGCUGGGAGCCGCCGGGGGCGGGGCAAGGGCGAGUUGCGGACUUUGAGCUACACUUCUCUCCAAGCCGGCCCGGGGGAAGGUGGCUCGCCGAUGCGGCGGCCAAUUACGUGGCAGACCUGCGGAUCUCAGCUGGCACGUCACUUCCGACUAGUUGAGGUUUCCAGGCUAGGGGGUCUAAUUGGAGCUAUAGCCACUGGCCUACACCACAGCCAUAGCAAUACCAGAUCCGAGCUGCAUCUGCAACCUACACCACAGCUCACGGCAACACCGGAUCCUUAACCCAAUGAGCAAGGCCAGGGAUCGAACCCAUGACCUCAUGGUUCCUAGUUGGAUUCGUUGACCACUGAGCCAUGACGGAAACUCAUGAUAUUUUUAUAUUUGUCUUCUACUUGGCUGGGAGCUACUUGAGAGCAGAAACUGUCUUUCUUUCCUAUCCCUGACAGUCUCUGACACAUAGGAAGCCUUAGCUAAAAGAGAAAAGCAAGGCUUAGAAUGAAUAAUUUUCCUAAGGUCACAUAGCUAGUGUAUGGCAGAGCCAGAAGGAGCAUCCAGAUCCUUAACCACUCAACAAUUAUAAAGAAGAAACACUGCAUGAGUGUCAGGAGACCCAAGGACUAGCCUUUAGUUGGUGGCUCUUGUGUUGAUUUUCCCUAGGUGAGAUUCUUUACCUUUAUCAUAUUUUGUUCUCAUUUGUAAUGCUCUUUUUAAGGCCAUCAAUUGAAGGUUAUUUUUGUUUACGUUUCUUCCAAGGAAAUUGAAAAAGUCUCAAUUCCCUAUAGAUUUCUUUUGAGAUAAGUGGCUGAAGAGAGCUGUUGGCUAUAAUGAAGGUAUCAAGAAUUUCCUGCUCUAGCUCAAGAGUGUCCCUCCUAUGAGUAGUUCAGACUCGGUGCCCUAUAGGGCCCUUUUGGGUCUUAUAUUCCAAGUGUUUGUCCCUCACCUGUAUGCUGUCCCUCGGUGACUGCACCACCCUUUAUUCUCCCUUUCCGUCAUCUGCCGGUUGAGAUGUGACUUUCCUCAGCGGGUUUGGUGAGGAACACCAGCCUUGAAGGAGUGACACCUUCUGCUCUCCAUGGUCCUGAAAAGAUGUCCCUGGGUUUCCUGAAAGUUUCUGUUUCCUGAGUACAGAUUUGAAUUUUUAUUUGUUUUUGAAGAAAAAGGAGAUGACAGAUGAUCUGUUAAUGAGUUACUGGAAACCACAGGAGAAUAAAAGGUACUGUCCAGGUGGUAGAGACAGAUCUUCUGUUCUUUCGCAUUUCUCCAUUUCUCCAUUUUGUAGUCUUUUUCCUUUGGCUGCCUCAGUGUGUCCAACUCUGCUUCUCUUGUUGCUGAGGUCUCAGACCUUAUGAUUUACUCCAGAGGUGCUGGCAAGACUGAGCUCAGAUUUAGGAUUAAGGACAUUAGGACUGCAGAAGGAUUAGGUAGGCUUCGGGAUUGAUCUGUCAGAGAGACUUCAGGAACUCCGUAUCUCUCCCACUCAGACUUUUGUCCUCUCUGCGAUCAACACAGUGUUGUCAAUGAUCAUACCCUGAUUUCCCUUCAGCGAAUCCCUAAGGAACUAGAAUGUCUUCCCUGAGAAUUCCACUGCUUAGGAGGUGACCCAGAAGUGAUAGCCCCUCCAGUCCUCUCCCUGUUCCCAUAGAGCACCUUAGAGAGAUUCCAAAGGGAGGUUCCUAAGGGUCAGGACCCUUAGGAUGUGAAAUUACUAGAUUCGAUCUUGGGAGGUAAUCUCUACAUGGAGCAUCUGGAUUGCUGCUUUCUCUUUUUCUCUCAUCUUCCUUCUUCCUUUUUAGUCUCUGCAUUUCCUUUUUCUUUAAAAAGCAAUUUUUUUUUUUUUUUUGGUCUUUUUAGUUUUGCACCUGCAGUGCAUGGAGAUUCUCAGGCUAGGGGUCCAACCGGAGUUGCUGGCUUAGGCCACAGCCACAGCAGCUCGGGAUCUAAGCCAUGCUCACAGCAACCCUGGAUUCUUAACUCACUGAGCGAGGCCAGGGAUUGAACCUACAACCUCAUGGAUACUAGUCGGAUUGGUUUCUGCUGUGCCAUGAUGGGAACUCCUAAAAGAGCAACUUCUUUGCUGUUGAUUAUCUAGUGCUUUACUGCUUUGUUAGUUACGUUGUUACUCCUCUCCUGUAUCCCUCCCAUUUAAUUAAUUGCCAGUUUCUGACAUUUUUAAACAUCUUAGCUGUCUCCUCCUUCCAUUUUUCACUCGACUGUCCUAUUUCAAGUCUUUCCUUAGACUGGUAACUGCCUCCCUACCUUCAUCUGAGCAUUUGGUCUCACCUCCUUGCCCCACUCCCAGCCUUUCGUUUGUAACUGCCUCCUUGGUGAUAUUUCUGACUCAAAACUCUGGCUGUGGUCAUUCCCCUACUGUCAUCUUUGAUGACUUUUAUUCUUCACCUAUUGGGUAAAACCUAAAUCUCUCUGGAGUGGCUUAUGAAGAUCUUUAUGAGCUUGUUCAGUGGGCUGGCCGAAGUUUAUAGAUGGGGAAUUGUGAGGAAGAAGAAAUCAUUUGUAGAGAAGUAGACACCACAUCUUUGUGCCCUUAGGUAUAUGGGGGAUUCCGUAUGUGAUCCCAUUCAAAUGUAAAGAAAGUUUAAAACAACUUUCUCCAGUCUUCUUUUUGACUGGUCAAGGAAGCACAAUCAUCCUUCUGUUUUGUCAAACUGAGCACUUUUUAGGGAAGCCAAGAUCUUUGCAUACUGCUUAUGGAAAUUUCUUUUUGCAACAGAGGUAGGCUGUGGGUCACUGAGGACACUCAUUAAGCAUGUACUCCCCAAAUACUGAAGGAAGAGUCAAUCAGAAACCAGCUUUUAGGAGUUCCUGUCGUGGCUCAGCAGAAAUGAAUCUGAUUAGCAUUCAUAAGGAUUCAGGUUCAAUCCCUGGCCUUGCUUAGUGGGUUAGGGAUCUGGCGUUGCCGUGAGUGUGGUGUAGGUGGCAGAUGUGGCUUGGAUCCCAGGUUGCUAUGGCUGUGGCAUAGGCCGCCAGCUACAGCUCUGGUUUGACCCCUAGCCUGGGAACUUCAGCAAGCUACCAGUGUGGCCCUAAAAAGUCCAAAAAAAAAAAAAAAAAAAAAAAA
rnacentral:lncRNA from 9 species